rnacentral:tRNA from 1 species
GGGGAUGUGGCUCAGGGGAAGAGUGCUUGCCUAGCAUGCAGGAGGUCCUGGGUUCAGUCCCCAGCACUGCAA